rnacentral:rRNA from 1 species
GACGAACGCUGGCGGCGUGCUUAACACAUGCCAGUCGAACGGAAAGGCCCUGCUUUUGUGGGGUGCUCGAGUGGCGAACGGGUGAGUAACACGUGAGUAACCUGCCCUUGACUUUGGGAUAUCUUCAGGAAACUGGGGCUAAUACCGGAUAGGAGCUCCUGCUGCAUGGUGGGGGUUGGAAAGUUUCGGCGGUUGGGGAUGGACUCGCGGCUUAUCAGCUUGUUGGUGGGGUAGUGGCUUACCAAGGCUUUGACGGGUAGCCGGCCUGAGAGGGUGACCGGCCACAUUGGGACUGAGAUACGGCCCAGACUCCUACGGGAGGCAGCAGUGGGGAAUAUUGCACAAUGGGCGGAAGCCUGAUGCAGCAACGCCGCGUGCGGGAUGACGGCCUUCGGGUUGUAAACCGCUUUCGCCUGUGACGAAGCGUGAGUGACGGUAAUGGGUAAAGAAGCACCGGCUAACUACGUG